AACGAACGUUGGCGGCGUGGAUUAGGCAUGCAAGUCGAACGAGAACCGGGGGCAACUCCGGGGAAAGUGGCGAAAGGGGCAGUAAUGCGUGGGUAACGUACCCUCUGGUCUGGGAUAGCCAGCUGAAAGGCUGGGUAAUACCGGGCGAAGUAGUGAAGUCGCAUGGCUUUACUACCAAAGAUUUAUCGCCGGGGGAGCGGCCCACGUGGUAUUAGCUUGUUGGUGAGGUAACGGCUCACCAAGGCUUAGAUGCCUAGCGGGUGUGAGAGCACGACCCGCGCCACUGGCACUGAGACACUGGCCAGACACCUACGGGUGGCUGCAGUCGAGGAUCUUCGGCAAUGGGCGCAAGCCUGACCGAGCGACGCCGCGUGUGCGAUGAAGGCCUUCGGGUUGUAAAGCACUGUCGAGGGGGAGGAAAGCCGCAAGGUCUGACCUAUCCCUGGAGGAAGCACGGGCUAAGUUCGUGCCAGCCGCCGCAGUAAUAC
rnacentral:rRNA from 1 species